UCCGGGCGUGUGUGCUGGUAUGAGUCUUCCAUCCUUCUAGAGAGCCACGCCUGCUGUUCACUCAGCUGGGCGUGUGCGAUCUAGAUCAUUUACUUUGAAAAAAUUAGAGUGUUUAAAGCAGGCUUAUGCCCGAAUACAUUAGCAUGGAAUAAUAAAAUAGGACUUCGGUUCUAUUUUGUUGGUUUCUAGAACUGAAGUAAUGAUUGAUAGGGAUAGUUGGGGGUGCUAGUAUUCAGUGGCCAGAGGUGAAAUUCUUGGAUUCACUGAAGACUAACUACUGCGAAAGCAUUCACCAAGGAUGUCUUCUUUAAUCAAGAACGAAAGUUGGGGGAUCGAAGACGAUCAGAUACCGUCGUAGUCUCAACCAUAAACUAUACCGACUAAGGAUCAGUGGACGUCUUAUUUCGACUCCAUUGGCACUUUAUGAGAAAUCAAAGUCUUUGGGUUCCGGGGGGAGUAUGGUCGCAAGGCUGAAACUUAAAGGAAUUGACGGAAGGGGCACCACCACGCGUAAACACCCGCUGGAGCCGCAGCGACUCUGCGCCGAACAGCAGCCCGAAAGGGCGAGUGGUGCCCCGAACACAUGAUGCUAGUCCGGCGCGCGCACCCACGCGCCGCCGGGCGACACGCUCAGAGUGCGGGGACACCCCCAAACACUCCAGCUACCAAGCCGCGCGCCGAGAGGCCGCGGUGGCCAGGCUAACGGCCUCGGGUACGGUCACAACGCUGGAGACACGGGGGC
rnacentral:rRNA from 1 species